AUCUAAAUUAAAGUAUGGCAUUAUAAUACUGUAUGUUGGAWAACUAAGCGCUGCAAAAGACCUACCACGUUCGCAGCCAUGGUGGGACAUAGAAGGUGCUUCUUGCUGCAGAGUGUUUGAUUUGACGGCUUUUGAAGGCAUUUGGUUUACAUUCUCGAUGGUUACACCAGGGAUAUUAGAAAAACUCUAGUAUKAUCUAGUAUCUACUGUGCUAAUGGAAGUUUAAUGAGUAAUAUACUUGCUAUUUUGGCCAGGUUGGCCAUGUCUCGGGUCGACAGCGCGCGUGUUUGAGUUGGAAUUUGGACCAGGGAAGGUGUUCUGRGGGUUUUCGCACAAGAUACAAUGUGGCACCGUAAGAUAUCGUAACCCUUUUAACCACGAUGUUUUCUUCGAAUUAAACGAGUAAUAUUUCUGCUGGCAUUGGGUAGGUAGGCUAUCCGAAAUCGAAGGACAAGAAAACACCUGCAUCACAUGGGGAUAUUUUUAUACCGGUUGGUGGCUCUAGCACUGCACACUCCCCUUGUCUGUGGCACCUCAAACGCCAUUGAAGUUGUCAAGAACUACUCCAAAGCCUAUGAGGACAUCGCCCUUCUGUGCAGAAGAGAGAAGCUCAAGUUCGGCACCUGCCUCAUUAACCGGCUGUAAUGUUACUAUAAGAAGGACUGUGGAAGGGAGUACAUGUUGAUGAAAUUAAUCUGCUCAGUUCUGAUGAAAGGGGUGAAGGGGAUUUGAGAAGAGCCACUAAUGGCUGAAGUUGGGUUUCUGCCUCCUGAGCUGACAUGAAAGAGUUCCACCCCGUGUAUUUAAAAAUUCUAACGGGUUGAGGAUUAAAUAUUAAACACUGCAGACUUGAGAAUCUAUUCCUCCGCUGAGGAAUGAAAAUCCUGGGAGUGUUCCUGACCUGCGGUCCACAGAGAGUGAGCUCGAACCAGAGCAGUGCCCAUGAGUACCCAGACUGCCGUGAUGGGGGCAGCGAGGCCAGCCUGC